CCCACGGCGCACGGGUGCGUAACACGUGGAUAACCUGCCCUUGGAUGGGGAAUAACCCCGCGAAAGCGGGGCUAAUACCGCAUAACAUUCCGUUGCCUUCGGGCGACGGAAUCAAAGCCUUCGGGCGUCCGAGGAGGGGUCCGCGGCCGAUUAGCUAGUUGGCGAGGUAACGGCUCACCAAGGCAAUGAUCGGUAGCUGGUCUGAGAGGAUGAUCAGCCACACUGGAACUGAGACACGGUCCAGACUCCUACGGGAGGCAGCAGUGGGGAAUCUUGCGCAAUGGGCGAAAGCCUGACGCAGCGACGCCGCGUGGGGGAUGAAGCUUCUCGGAGUGUAAACCCCUUUCGACCCGGACGAAAUGCCCCGCAAGGGGAAUUGACGGUACGGGUAUAAGAAGCCCCGGCUAACUACGUGCCAGCAGCCGCGGUAAGACGUAGGGGGCCAGCGUUGCUCGGAAUUACUGGGCGUAAAGGGUUCGUAGGCGGUGCGGUAAGUCGAGAGUGAAAUCUCCGGGCUUAACCCGGAGGCUGCUCCCGAAACUGCCGUGCUCGAGUGCUGGAGAGGCGAGUGGAAUUGCAGGUGUAGCGGUGAAAUGCGUAGAUAUCUGCAGGAACACCAGUGGCGAAGGCGGCUCGCUGGACAGCAACUGACGCUGAGGAACGAAAGCUAGGGGAGCAAACAGGAUUAGAUACCCUGGUAGUCCUAGCCCUAAACCAUCAGGACUUGACGUGGGCCCCGUUCGGGGUCCGUGCCGUAGCCAACGCGAUAAGUCCUGCGCCUGGGGAGUACGGUCGCAAGACUGAAACUCAAAGGAAUUGACGGGGGCCCGCACAAGCGGUGGAACAUGUGGUUCAAUUCGACGCAACGCGAAGAACCUUACCUGGGCUCGAAGUGCUGGUGACCAGCCGUAGAAAUAUGGCCUUCCCGCAAGGGACACCAGUAGAGGUGCUGCAUGGCUGUCGUCAGCUCGUGCCGUGAGGUGUUGGGUUAAGUCCCGCAACGAGCGCAACCCUUACACGUAGUUGCCACCCGCAAGGGGGAACU
rnacentral:rRNA from 1 species